rnacentral:rRNA from 1 species
UACGUAGGGUGCAAGCGUUGUCCGGAAUUAUUGGGCGUAAAGGAGCUCGGUAGGCGGUUUGUCGCGUCGGCUGUGAAAACCUGGGGCUCAACCCCGGGCCUGCAGCCGAUGCGGGCAAACUAGAAUUCGGUAGGGGAGACUGGAAUUCCCGGUGUAGCGGUGAAUGACGCAGAUAUCGGGAAGAACACCCGUGGCUAAGGCGGCUCUCUAGUACGGUACUGACGCUGAGACGCGAAAGCGUGGGGAGCGAACGAGG